AUUGAACGCUGGCGGAAUGCUUUACACAUGCAAGUCGAACGGCAGCACGGGGCAACCUGGUGGCGAGUGGCGAACGGGUGAGUAAUACAUCGGAACGUGCCCAAUCGUGGGGGAUAACGUAGCGAAAGUUACGCUAAUACCGCAUACGAUCUACGGAUGAAAGCGGGGGAUCGCAAGACCUCGCGCGAAUGGAGCGGCCGAUGUCAGAUUAGGUAGUUGGUGGGGUAAAGGCUCACCAAGCCAACGAUCUGUAGCUGGUCUGAGAGGACGACCAGCAACACUGGGACGGAGACACGGCCCAGACUCCUACGGGAGGCAGCAGUGGGGAAUUUUGGACAAUGGGCGCAAGCCUGAUCCAGCCAUUCCGCGUGCAGGAUGAAGGCCUUCGGGUUGUAAACUGCUUUUGUACGGAACGAAACGGCUCUCUCUAAUACAGGGGGCUAAUGACGGUACCGUAAGAAUAAGCACCGGCUAACUACGUGCCAGCAGCCGCAGUAACAC
rnacentral:rRNA from 1 species